rnacentral:rRNA from 1 species
UACGUAGGGUGCGAGCGUUGUCCGGAAUUAUUGGGCGUAAAAGGGCUCGUAGGCGGUUUGUCGCGUCGGGAGUGAAAUCCACUGGCCUAACUGGUGGCUUGCUUUCGAUACGGGCAGACUGGAGGUAUGCAGGGGAGAACGGAAUUCCUGGUGUAGCGGUGAAAUGCGCAGAUAUAAGGAGGAACACCGGUGGCGAAGGCGGAUCUCUGGGCCAUUACUGACGCUGAGGAGCGAAAAGCGUGGG